GACGAACGCUGGCGGCGUGCUUAACACAUGCAAGUCGAACGGAAAGGCCCUGCUUUUGUGGGGUGAUCGAGUGGCGAACGGGUGAGUAACACGUGAGUAACCUGCCCUUGAUUUUGGGAUAACUUCAGGAAAGUGGGGCUAAUACCGUAUAGGAGAUGCUGCUGCAUGGAGGGGGGUGGAAAGUUGCGGCGGGUGGGGAUGGACUGGCGGCUUAUGAGCUUGUUGGUUGGGUAGUGGCUGACCAAGGCUUGGGCGGGUAGCCGGCAUUAGAGGGGGAACGGGCACAUGGGUACUAAGAGACGGCCCAGUGUGGUACGGUAGGCAGUAGUGGGAAGUAUGGCACAAUGGGAGGAAGCCUGUUGCGGCAACGCCCCGUUCGGGAUGACGGCUUUCUGGUUGUGAAACGCUGUCGCUUGUGACGAAGCGGGAGUGACGGUAAUGGAUAAAGAAGCACCGGCUAACUACGUG
rnacentral:rRNA from 1 species